rnacentral:tRNA from 1 species
UGUCCGAUGGUGUAACUGGCAACACGUAUGGUUUUGGUCCAUAAGAGUCCAGGUUCGAGCCCUGGUCGGACAA